rnacentral:lncRNA from 1 species
GAUUAGUACACGUCUGCUCUGUUGAUGAGCUGGUGACAUCGGAUGAGUAACUGUUUCAGUGUGCGGAAAGUUAUGCGGCCACUGCAUGCAACUGUUGCAAGGACUGCCCUAAUUCCCAAGUAUCUCCUGAGUCAGGAGUGGGAACAUGAAGAAAAGAGAAGAAAAAGAAAGAAGACAGCAGUCCCAACAGUAUACAAGGUGAUUUAUAGGCAUCGCUUCAUGUAAUUGUCACAAGACCCUGCACGGAUUGGAAUAGUGUCCUAUCAAUAAUGCCUAUUUUAUAUUGGAGAAAAUAAGCACAAGUGGAUAUAAGUGUAGCUUUCUGGGGUUUUUUCAUUGGAUCAAAAAGUACUAGGAUGAAUUCGUCAUCUCUACGACAGACCUUCCUCCCUCUACCC